GCUUGCUCCUUGAUUCAGCGGCGGACGGGUGAGUAAUGCCUAGGAAUCUGCCUGGUAGUGGGGGACAACGUUUCGAAAGGAACGCUAAUACCGCAUACGUCCUACGGGAGAAAGCAGGGGACCUUCGGGCCUUGCGCUAUCAGAUGAGCCUAGGUCGGAUUAGCUAGUUGGUGGGGUAAUGGCUCACCAAGGCGACGAUCCGUAACUGGUCUGAGAGGAUGAUCAGUCACACUGGAACUGAGACACGGUCCAGACUCCUACGGGAGGCAGCAGUGGGGAAUAUUGGACAAUGGGCGAAAGCCUGAUCCAGCCAUGCCGCGUGUGUGAAGAAGGUCUUCGGAUUGUAAAGCACUUUAAGUUGGGAGGAAGGGCAGUAAGUUAAUACCUUGCUGUUUUGACGUUACCGACAGAAUAAGCACCGGCUAACUCUGUGCCAGCAGCCGCGGUAAUACAGAGGGUGCAAGCGUUAAUCGGAAUUACUGGGCGUAAAGCGCGCGUAGGUGG
rnacentral:rRNA from 1 species